UCGAGAAUAUUUCGCAAUGGGCGCAAGCCUGACGAAGCGACGCCGCGUGAGGGAUGAAGGUCUUCGGAUUGUAAACCUCUGUCACAGGGGAAGAAAAAAAUGACAGUACCCUGGGAGGAAGCCACGACUAACUACGUGCCAGCAGUCGCGGUAAUACGUAGGUGGCAAGCGUUGUUCGGAUUCACUGGGUGUAAAGGGUCCGUAGGAGGUUUAGUGUGUCUGAUGUGAAAUCCCAAGGCUCAACUUUGGAACUGCAUUGGAAACUACUAAACUAGAGUAUCGCAGAGGAAAGUGGAAUUCCCGGUGUAGCGGUGGAAUGCGUAGAUAUCGGGAGGAACACCAAAGGCGAAGGCAGCUUUCUGGGCGAUUACUGACUCUGAGGGACGAAAGCGUGGGGAGCAAACA
rnacentral:rRNA from 1 species